CUUGAACGCACCAUUGUACGUGCGCUAGCCUUCUCCCACUGCACAGUUUGUCAACUAUGUCAACUUUUUAUCAGGUUUUUUUCACUUCCUAUUUGCUCCCAAAUGCUGAUACUCUGUGGGAAUGCCUAAAGCACUGAAUCCAAAGUCAUCUACACUCUGAUCAAGAGUUUUGUAAGAGCCGAAUGACCUGCACUUGACACCCUAGGGAUUCAUUUGUGGUCAUCAAAAAUCUAACCUGAAAGUUAAGUGAAAUUAUCUUUCAAAUAAAUGUCAAUGUGCAUGUUAAUAUCUGUGCAAAAGGCGUAUAUAAAUGCAUUUCCAAGCUGCGCUGUUUCCCUUCACUAUUUAAACAGUGCAAAAGCUCAUAAAGAACACUACGGGAUACUGGAAAAUCAAAGAUGCUAUGUCAGAGGGGGUGGGUAUACUGGAUUGAUUGUUCAGACUUCAAACAUGGAAAUAAUUUUCAUAUGUAAUUUAGCUGGAGUUUAAAUGGAAACGGUCGCUAGAUUGCACUGGAAACCAAAUCAGAUGCAUAUGUACCAUUUGACUGCAACGAUUCAAAGAUGCUUUGCUGCUUUAUUAAAAGACAUCAUGCGGAGAUGCACAUAAGUGAUCUAAUGAACGUAAAACAGCUCAAACAUAAGUUGUUGUGGGUAUUCUGCGAAGCGAUUUUAGUGGGUUAGCAAGCUGUGUUUGAGUGGAAAGCCCGACUUACGUGUUCAGCAAAAGUAGCUCUAUCAACAUGGUAACUAAAGUUAGGCCAGGUCCAGGCUUUCAGCUUAAAACAGGCUAUGAAAGUGCCACUGUUUAACUAAUUCAGAGAUGGCAUCACCAUUUAUUGACAACCUACGAGGUUCCCGAGAGGAUGAAAUGUACAUUUUUUUUGUUUUUUUUUAAUUGUACAUCUAAAUGCCAUCAAGUGCUCAACAGAUUUACUCUGCCAGGGAGAAGUGUGAUAUACAAUUCCCCUGUUAUACAGAAUUUAUUUGACUUUGAUGCUUGUUAUUAAGCAAACUUGGAGCGACCGGGCCGGAGCAGGAGGGGACAGAGAAGAAGAGAAAAGAUAAAGGAUGAAAUAUUAAUAACAUGAAUUAAUUAAUGACGUAAAUGUCACAGGAGUCCUUGCGUGAGUACUCAGCCCGUUAGUUUUCUUAUAUUGCAAUAUUUGCUGGAGGAAUAAACACUCAGAGGCACCAAUCAACUGCGUUAAAAAACAUGUUUUAUUAUAAAAAGGGAAAAAAAAUAAAACACGUCUCACCCAAAACACUGCCAUCUGGUGGUCACAGCGAGAUACAGCAGAUUAAAAUAUUUAAUGAAUUUACAGUAUGUCAUCAAAAACGAAAGUUGUUGCUCCAGUGUAUUUAUUUUUUAAUUGGAUAAGUGUUAAUGUGUCACGGCGCAAUCUUUUGGGAACUCCUCAUAACGCUCCCUAAUAAUUCCAUACUCCUUUUUUGUAAAAUACGCUGGGUGGUAUCUCUUCACUUUUCAGGGGAAGUAGAAUAAUAUGACGUCAAACGUCCCCUUUCAUGUGAACUCAUUUAGCACAAAGCCGAAAACCGGACUUGACAGGGUAAGUUGAUAACCAGUUAAGGCGGUAUACGGCGAAAGUGACUGAACAAACCAAGGCUUUGUGCUCAAGAUGCGACUCGACAAAACCAAAAAUCCGCAACCAGACUUAACUGGUCCCGCGUGACGGUGGUUAUCAACUGACAUUCAUACUUUUUCCUAGCCACAGUGCUACGCUUUAAAGGGUGAACCAAAUUAAAUUUUUGGGGAUCAUAAUAGAUGAACAAAUAAGCUGGGAAUCUCACAUUAAAAAUAUACCACAUAAGGUGGCGAGAGAUACUUCAAUAUUGAAUAAAGCAAAGUUUGUCCUUGACCAAAAAUCACUCCAUACUCUACUGCUCUCUGGUGUUUUCAUAUCUAACUUAUUGUGUGAAGAUUUGGGCGUAAUAACUACAAACGCAAUCUUCACUCACUAAAUGUACUGCCAAAAAGAUCAGUUAGGAUAAAUCCUUUAAUUCUAGAGUCACAAAUAUUAAAAUUUGCCGAUCAUUUUCAAACAGCUAAAAUGAAGCACAAAGCAAACAAUAACCUGCUACCCAAAAACGUUCAUAAAAUACUUUUCUACAAGAGAGGAGAGAUAAGAUCUCAGGGGAAAAACUAAACUUAAGACACUUAUACGUGAGAAGAACGCUAAAAACCCACAGCAUUUCAGUAUGUGGAAUUAAAUGAAGGAACGACUUGAGUAAAGAAGUCAAACAAAGCACCAAGAUGAGCGAUUUCAAGAAACAGUACAAGCAACUGAUGUUUGCAAAAUACAAGAAAGAAAAGUCUUGACCUUAUGUUAUGUUUAAUUGUAUUUAUUAGUAUUUUUUUUAUUAUUAUGUACGAUUAUUAUUUAUUAUGAUUGUGGAAAAACCUUGACAAUUAUAUUACCAUAUUGUUACAUUACCUUAUCACUUUGCUAUGUAUUAAAAAGAUCACAUAUGAAAUACAGGAAGUGAAAAAAAACGGGUGGGGGGUAGGAUUAAAUAAGAUUUGCUUCUUCCUACUCCUUUUGGACAUGUGGAACUGUGUAUUGAAUUAUGUGACGUAUUCCAUUGUAGCUUGUAUGCACGUUCAAAUCAAAUGAAACCAUUACCAUUACCAGAUGUUGGACUUUGAUUGUGUGUCUCUGAGACCUGAAUAAAGACUUUAUUUUCAGCUGCACACACCACCGCCUCGCAUCUUGGGUUCCUAUCGGCACCAAGCGUGACAUAAGUGGCCAAUUAGCAUUUUUUAAACCAGUUUGCACACCGGCCCGAAACAUAAGAUGAUGUUCGCUGAAAACUCAAUAUAAGUCAUGCAGAAAAUUGUUAAUACACCCCUCAUUUAUCGCGGUUAAUUGGUUCCAGACCCGACAGUGAUAAGUGAACUUCCACAAAGUAGGCUUCAAUUAAAUAUAUGGAUCAUUUUUGUAGUUAGAGCAUAGAAAACCUGUUUAUGACUUUCUAAAUACAAUCUUUACCACUAUUAGAUCUUUGUAGACGUGAAAUAACGCCCCUGCAGUCACCUCUACACUCCUAUUAAUGUUUUACAUUAUGUUGCUCACCUGUAAUGCGCAGGCUACCGGAUCACUGCAGAGGAUCACUGCAGAGCCAUGGUCAAGUCUUUAACUAUUAUCAAGCUAGCGAGCUAACGAGCCUCCAAUUUAUUCACUGUAUUCUAAACCUAAAUGGUUUGAACAGAGUGGGGAAGAAGGACAAACAAGCUUACCACUUCCACACAGAAUGGGAGGAGAACUUCUUUUCACUCUAUCAUGUCGGACAUGCCAUGGCUGAUUUCGGGCAGUGUGUCUGUAAUCUAAUGUCAUGUGUAACGGGUUCACUUCACCAAAACACUUAAAGCAUUAUUGUUAGAUUUUGUAUGUUUAAAUAUGUUUAUGUACUAGUUUUGUGUGGUGCGAGUGUUGCGUCAGCGUGUGCUGGAACGUGGUGACGUAGUUACAUCGCGGUGGGCGCACGCGCGCGCUCGAGGUAAGAUGUGAAAUGUGCUCUUUCCGCGAAAGUUGCGUGAAAUGUGUUUGUAGAGUUGUUGUGCCGUGUCGUCGCAGACUGUGAUGUGUUGUAUAUUGCUUUGCGGAUGUCCGGUGAGAGUUUUCGCUGACGUGUUUAUUGUAUUGUGCACUUUAAAACUAUGGUCUGCUCACGAAGCGGAAGCUAGCUUCGCUAGCACGGGUCGGCUAGCGGCCGUCUCUUCAUGUCUGGACAUGUGCGAUGUCCUUAGGAUCUCUUUUUGAUUUCCAGGAGAACCAGGAAAUACGUGGAGGAGCACACAGCUCAUGUAUUGUAUGUUUCACACAGCAGAAAUGAAAGACAUCAAAGACCAUCAAGUCCUCCUUCUUCAUAACCCACCAGAACACAACACAGAGGAAAGUAAGGGCAGAAACCUAAGACGAGACCGCCGCAAGCAUCUCUUCUCUCCGGCCUACCAUCUGAGUGCACUCACUGAGUUGGAUCAUGCGGAGCGGUGUGAUUUUCUUCCUGGUCGUGGAAUUGUGGACCAAGUGCGUGGGAGUUUGCUCAACCAGUCCACAUGUGUUUUACGGACUUGGAGAAGGCAUUGGACUGUGUUUCUCGAGGAAUCCUGUGGGGAGAACUCGGGGAGAAUGGGGUACCGGACCGCCUAAUUCAGGCGGGUUGCUCCCUGUGUGACCGAUGUCGGAGCUUGAAAACCUGAUUUUUUUGUAUAUUUAUAUAUAUAUUUUGACGGUACUUUUCAUCCUUCCCGUUUUUCUCCGAGAAACUCUCAUAUCUCGCCCUUCUAAAUAGUUUCCCAUGUUCCAACUUGUAUCCAAAUCAAACACUCUUCGGUACUGCAGGUGACGAUGGUGAGGGUAUCCACACUUGAGCCACAGCAGCCUGCAAGGGCAAUUGUGCAGCGCAUUGGCAGCGGGCUGUCUGUUUUUUUCUGAGGAAUUUAAUAACAACUAGAGAAGCACUUGGAGAGCGCAGACCUCCAUAGUUCCGCCCCCAUAUUGUUAUUCACAUCAAAAUAAUAAUCCUACAUUUUUUGGAUCAGUCUUUGUUUUUUUAUAGAACCUAUUGGAAACUGUUGGAAAGUGCUCUGAUCAUUUUUUGUGGAGUUAUAUGCACAAAAGCCAAAAAUGGUCCCAUCUCGCAAUGUUUAAGAAUCCUUUCAAAAAAUUCCAGAUUCCAGAUCAUUCCCCAAAAUGUAAUCAGUUCUUCCACAUCACAUUUCCAACAACUCCUCAGUAACACACUGGUGGUGGCAAACUACAUCUGUAGGCACAGCUGCAGCUGGGUAGUCUUGACAGAAACGUGGCUGCCAAUUCGCGCGUGCGGCCUCUCCGACCACCACCGAACAUUCAUUCACAUUCAUACACCAGUGUGGGCAGCACUGGAGGUAAGGUGGGUGACGUGUCUUGCCCAGGGACACAACAACAGUGACUGGGUGGAGGGAGCCAGGAUCAAACCGGCAACCUUCCGAUUUCUGGAUGGCCUGAGACACUGCCGUCCCCUAAUUUCCCUUAUUUUCCGGAAAUGUCCUGUCAGGCUCUGAGGAGCGGUGUAAUUGGGUCCCAGGAUGCAGACACAGGAACGAAUCCAACAGUUCAAGAUUAUUUAACGAAAAACAUAGAUGAGGCAAAAAACAGGAACUCAGGACGACGGUGCAAAACGAAGAAGGGCACCGUGGUUGCAAAACCAAGGACUGCACUCAGCAACAAAGGAUAACUGGAUCUACCACGUGAGCUGGACGGAUGACUGGACUGCAGGACGGCCGAGAUGGUUGGAGUGGCGAGGCGAGCUGCAUCAGAAGGACAAAGGUGAGUGGUAGCAGGAGAGGUACACAUGGUCUGGAAGUGCAACCAUGGAGAAUAAUCCAGCGCUGGAUGGCUGCAGGUGAGGAGGCUAAAAAGGGUACUGAUUGGAAACAGCUGCAGGGAUCCAGUAGCCCAGCUCUGGAGGUGUCAGAAUCUGAACAAGCCAACAGAGGAGAAGUGAGCAACAACAUAAAAUAUAAAUGGAUAAAGCACACACUACAACAGGCGACUGAGAAGAGCGUGACAUGUCCCUUAUUUUCAAACGCCAAUGAUGACAGGUAUGAUUUACACUUUGAUUUUGUUUGAAAAAUAAUUUUCCAAAGAGGGGUCGUCUUAGAUCCAGGGUUAAACGAAUACCUCUGUGACAGUGUCAGUCCAAAUGGAUAUGAUCUAUGAUACCGCUCUUGUAUUGGAGAACAGUGUUCCCUCGUUUAUAGUGGGGGAUAGGUUCCCAAAAUAGACUGCAAUAAGUGAUGUUGCUAACUUCAUUUUUUACAAUGAUUAUAUAUGCAUUAAGGCUGUAAAACCCCUCAACAUACACUUUAUACACUUUUUCAGACAGCCAAUAACAUUUUCUCACAUUUCUCUCUUGUUUAAACACUCUCAAACCUUCAUUUGAAUUUUAAUGAUCAACCUACGAGGUUGGACACAAUCAAUUAUUAAGUAACUCUCCCGUAUUUCACUCAUCUGACCGUGCCCAUUUGUCCUGGCGCCGUUCUGCUAUAGCGUUUUUGUAUCCUUGUAAAACAUAUUGCUCCAGUCUUGGUAUUUUACUCCUCCUCGAACCGAAGAUUCAUUUAUUCCGUACUGGCGCCCUACAUCCUCUACUUUUACCUUCCUUCAGCAUCUCCAGAAGUCCAACUUUGUGUGCCAUGGUUGCCUUCCUCUGCCUUUUGGGUGCAGAACGUUUCAUUGUGGGUUUUGUCGGGGGUUAAACCUGCAAACAGACAGCGUUUAGAGUCACAUGGCUAGCUUCUUCUUCUUCUUCUAUUGUUUAUUAUCAUUAUUGGCAAGCAGCUCACAUGGUUAGCUAGUUUGCUAGCGUUGACCACAACAGGAGAUUGAUUGACAAUGGUCUACAGCCAAUCAGGACGCAGAAUGGGCGGUGCAGACAGGAGAGAGAGACACAGCCACCUAGGGCUAAAGCACAGAAGUACAACACUCGACUUCCCACAAUGCAGUCCUUCUUAAAGGGCCAGGCUCGGCCUGUAACAGCGCUCAUAAACUGUGAAAAAAAAAUGCACAAAAAAAAAUUUGCAAAACAUCGAGGCCACAAAAGGUGAGGAGCACUGUACCUAAUGUUGUAUGAAGUCAUGACCGUGUCAGUAGACCUGUUUCUCAUUUCACAUGUACCUAUCUAGUGCAUGUUACCAGGGCAACCAAGUGUCCUUCACUACAUCAUCCCCUGCAGUGUUUCAAGCAGGUGGGCGGAGCCUACCGAGUACACUUAAGUCACAGCAGAGUGGAAUCUUCUCAGAGUAACAGGACUCUUGAUCAAGCGAGCGGCAACAAGAA